UACUUAAAGAAAAUAGACUCAGAUGAAAAGGACAUUUUUUAUUUUAGCCUUUACAGUUCUUGAAUUAUAAGUGACAUUUUUUUACAUGGUGAAAAUACAGCCACACUGCUUCAACUCCUAAUGAAAUUACAAUGCAGAUGAAAACAAUGGAAUGAAAGAUUUUACAAAACAGAAAUUCACCACAAAAUACUAAACACAGAUAAACAUUGUCUAUCCAGGCAUUACACAGAAUUAUGCAGUAAAACAGCUUCAAUUAGCUUUAAAACAGCUCAAAAUCUUCAAUCUUGCUCUCAGAUUUCAAUUUAAAACACUGCAUUUUCCAUAGAGAUUUACAAUUUUGUCAUAUCUAAAGUCGUGUCAUAUCUGUGGUUUAGAUUUAAUGUUUGGUAUAAUGUUCUGCAUUUUGUUUUGCCACUUUACAGUAAUAUAACUAGACUGCAUGUACACACUCAGUAGUCACUAAAAGGAAAAAAGAAGAGCAUACACUUUUGACUUGCUCAACAUCCAUAAGACAAAACUGAGAGCAGGCUGUAAACCAAUAGACAAAUAUAUUUUCAAUUGAAUGAAUUGCAAAUGUAGUGAGCAGUACUGUAAAAAAAAAAUGGAUCCAUACCUUGAAUGAAAUUAGAGUAGUGCAAUUUGCACUCUUCAUAUUACUCAAGAUCUUAUUGAAUCGCCAAAUGAAGUGCUGAAAAUGAAUCGCCUGCUCUAUCAUCUGAAACGUGUUGGAAAAAUGACUGCAUCCACAAUAAUUGUUAUAUACAAUGAAAAUACACAACUUAAAAUAACAUGCAUAGUAAAAAAUGUUAUUGAUUCUGCAAAUAAUUUUUACAAAAAGCCUUAUAUUGGUGCUGGCACUGAACUGUCUAGAAUUUUUUUGUUCUAAAUUUGGAACUCUAGGUACUUAUAGGGGAGAAAUGAGAAGGCGGGAUUGCCCAAAAUGAGCACACACACACACAAAUACACAUUUUACACUAAUUAGAGUAAUCAGUGGCAACAAUUUGUUCUCAGUCUCUGUUGACAGACAUCUUGGCGGAUUGCAGCGGCCCUGUUUAGUAAAGGUAGUUUAUUUUCACCAUGGGUUGUCCGUCAACAGCUAGUCUAUGUCUGGUGGCCCCAGUUGCCCGAAAUAGCAAUAAUUAGGAUAGGGAGGGAAAAGAGGAAGAGAGAAAACGUGUCAGACUGCUGGUAGGCCAUCCACAGAGGCCUCUCAUCCUUUUUUCUACUUGCUUUUGUGUGUGUGUGUUUCCUCUGUUAAUACUAUGACCAUCCCUAAUGAGACAGAGAGAGAGAGAGCGUUCUGGUGUACGUGGAUGAGAAUCUAGUGUUUUGAAACUGUGAAAUUGGGCGAGACAAGAUUAUCUGAUACCUGAAGAGGCCACACACAGAGUCUCUAAAUGACUGAACAUUCAGAAUGUGAACGAUAGUCAACUAGCUAAAAUGCACAGGGUUGCAUUUCGUCUAAGAAAAUUACUAGAGAUGCAUAAUAUAUUAGAACCAUAACCGUUAUUAGCGGUUAUUAGAGAUUCAUUUGAUAUUGGUUGGUUAUGUUUAACUGUAUAAGUUUCUCACAUUUUCACAUUUAGAUUACAUUUACUGUCAUUUAACAUUCUUAAAAAUUAAAAUAAAUUUAAUUCUAAAAUUUUAAAUUUUAAAAUGACUAAUAACAUUCUUUAAGAAUGCUUUUAAUUUAAUACACUAUUAAAUGUAAAUUUUGGCAAAUCUCAAAAUGAAUAUUCAUUUUCAUAUGUAUAUUUUAAUGUUGUGAUGCCUAAAUUCACUUGUAGCAUAUAAUUAAUUUUUAUUUUUAAUGUUUUAUUUUUAAUUUAUUUAGGAGAAUUUUUUUUAUUGUUUUAUUUAUAAAUAAUUAAUCAGUUUUUGAUCAUAACAUUAUAUAUAGAACAGUUCUUGACUCAAUUUUGAAGAACCCUUUAUGCCAAAAAGGUUCACUGGAGAAAUGUUAAAUGAGUGAACAAUACUUUCAUGUUUAAUGGGUUAUUUCGAUUUUAAUUUAAAUUUAUUUUUUAGUAUGUUUAUUAGCUGAUUCAUAAAAUUUAAUUACAAUAAAAAAAUGAAUCAAAACUUAAAUUAAUCAAUUAAUUAAAACUAAAUCCAUAAAAUUAUUCCAUAAUUGGAACCUCUAAAAUGUUAUAUGAAGCGCCUGACAGAACCUUUAAGGUUCUGUACGGAGGUUCUAUUCAUCUGUCAGAAUUUUUUUUUUUUUUUUUUUUUUAAAUGCAGAAAUCAGAAUUGGUUAAUUAGGAGUUAAAUACACAAUAUAGCUGAAUUAAAGCCUUACACCUUUCAGGGCAAUAUGUAAACAUGUAUAUACAUUUUUAUAUAACUUGUUGGUAACACUUUACAAUAAGGUUCAUUAGUUAAACAUUAGUUAAUGUAUUAACUAACAUGAACUAACUAUAAGCAAUACAUUUGUUACUGUAUUUGUUAAUCUUUGUUAAUGUUAGUUAAAAAUACAGCAGGUCAUUGUUUGUUCAUGUUAGUUCAUAGUGAAUUAACUAAUGUUAACAUAAUACAGCUCUUGAUUUUAAUAAUGUAUUAGUAAAUGUUGAAAUUAACAUUAACAAAGAUUAAUGCUGUAGAAGUGCAGUUCAUUAUUAGUUCAUGUUAACUAAUGUAGUUCACUAAUGUUAACUAAUGAACCUUAUUGUAAAGUGUUACCAAAUUUUCUAUGUAUUGUUCAUACUAUGAAACAUAAGAAUAUCCCAAACACAUCAUUAUAAAAAACUGACUUAUCAGUCUCUUAUAAUAUUCUGUGGGUGCCCUCGAAGUAGAUUGUCAACUUGUUAACCUGAGUUUGAACUAGAACAUUUUAACAACAACCAAAAUGCUGCUUUUAUCAUGUUCUAAUCUUUUUUGGAGGGUGGGUGAAGUCAUGCUGGACACACACACACUUCCCUUUAUCCAUAAUCUCCUGGUCAUCCUAUAUAAACCCACCCCAGCUUCAGGUCUACAAAUACCCAAAACACACAUGCCCUUGACAGAGAGGACUGCAAGGCAACAUACACAUACAAGGCAGGACAGAGCAGGAUUGUCAAAGAACUCCUGAAGAAACUUCUAAAGGACAGACUAAUUCACCAAGAAGAUGAUGUGCUCCAGGUGUUUGCUACUUAUUCUGGUUGUCUACUUCUUGAUGGACGAGCUUUGUGCUUUCCUGCUACCAGACAGACUGCGAAUGAAAAGAAGCAGUCACAGGUCGGAUCAGGAGAUGUCACCACACAUCUAUGAGCUCUCUGAUCUGGCAGACUUGUUCCCAGGAAAUGAAGGGGAAAUGACUCGGGACUGGGAUCCCAAUCCGGCCAAGUCUCCUGCGUUCUUUUCUCCUUUGGAACAUAUCAAUGUGCAACCAGCAAACAGCAACCGCCGCAAAAACAAGGAUAAGAGGAGGAGGAUCACUGUUCCUCUGGACCCCAUUGGCAGCUCCCACUUGUCUACUAGAAACAGAAAGGAGGAACCUGGAGAUUUCAAGGAGUAUGACGCAAAGUGAUCAAGCUGACCGAUUAUAUGUACCGUUAAAAAGGACAAUUUAUUAUGUUGUGUAGUUUUGGUCCUUUUUCUCCUUUUUGGUUUCUAUUAAGUCAUUGCAUCUCAGGAUUAUGAACUGUGACUUAUUUAUUUGUAUUUAUGUUUUGCGAAUAUUAGCUUACCAACUCCCUCUAGUGGGGUGCAAACUGACAGACACUGUAUUGGUGUUGCUGCAAAAUAAAACGUACAAUGAUAAAACUAUCCAGUCUUGUCCAAUGUUCUUUCAACUUAUAUUGUGAUGCAUCAUGUUUUUGUGAAUUAAAAUAAGAGCUACAUUAGUAAAAUAAGAUAUUUGAAGCCCAAUAAAGAAAAGUUUUAUUUCCUCAGGUAGUUAAAGAAAAUGAUAUCAGAUGCAAAAAAUAUACCAUUUGCUUUGCUUUUCUCUUCACUUUCACAUAUGUACACUUCUCAAAAUCUGUGAUAUUUACAGACUGCAACACGAAGCAAGAGAGA